rnacentral:rRNA from 1 species
UACGGGGGGGGCAAGCGUUGUUCGGAAUUACUGGGCGUAAAGGGCGCGUAGGCGGCCUGCUAAGUCGAACGUGAAAUCCCCGGGCUCAACCCGGGAACUGCGUCCGAUACUGGCAGGCUUGAAUCCGGGAGAGGGAUGUGGAAUUCCAGGUGUAGCGGUGAAAUGCGUAGAUAUCUGGAGAAACACCAGCGGCGAAGGCGGGUAGCUGGGCCAACACUGACGCUGAUGCGCGAAAGCUAGGGGAGCAAACGGG